rnacentral:rRNA from 1 species
GAUGAACGCUAGCGGCAGGCUUAAUACAUGCAAGUCGAGGGGCAGCAUGGUGUAGCAAUACACUGAUGGCGACCGGCAAACGGGUGCGGAACACGUACACAACCUCCCUUCAAGCGGGGCAUAGCCCAGAGAAAUUUGGAUUAAUACCCCAUAGAAUAUUGGAAAGGCAUCUUUUUGAUAUUAAAGAUUUAUCACUUGAAGAUGGGUGUGCGGCUGAUUAGGUAGUUGGCGGGGUAACGGCCCACCAAGCCUUCGAUCAGUAACUGGUGUGAGAGCACGACCAGUCACACGGGCACUGAGACACGGGCCCGACUCCUACGGGAGGCAGCAGUAAGGAAUAUUGGUCAAUGGACGAAAGUCUGAACCAGCCAUGCCGCGUGGAGGAUGAAGGUCCUCUGGAUUGUAAACUUCUUUUAUAUGGGACGAAAAAGGGGCUUUCUAGCUCAACUGACGGUACCAUAUGAAUAAGCACCGGCUAACUCCGUGCCAGCCGCCGCCGUAAAAC